AACCUACACAUGAACAUGGCGGAGUUGAGGUUUCCCUUGUAUUAGGGAUAAAAUGCGUCAUUCUAGCGCUAACCUAAGGACUACUGAACAUUUCCCAGCUGUGCAUUGGUCCUUGGGCUGACCUCACAACUUUCUGUUUUAUUACUAUGCCAUAUAUUAUGCUUCCAAUUCUCAACGAAGCCGUCGCUAGGGCGGCUUUCAAUUCCUGCCUUUGCUUAGGCGAUUUUACGGACACGCACCUAUUUGUGUUUCCCCAAGUAUCAACUGUAUGGCUUGUAUGAUUGAAAAAUCUUGGUUAUAUUCUAGUUCGACAGAGCGUCUGAUUAUGUCUUAGUCAGUAGGGAUAUUGGGCGACGAGCUAUCACCAUGCCAAAAUUGAGCAUCAUUGCUCAACUCCAAAUGGUUGAGCGAGGAAAAUCAUAGCAAGCUUUGUUACCCCAUGAAAAUGGGGUCAUGCCCGAUCCUAAGAUAGAGCAGUUUCUUAGGGCUUCACCGAACAAGCCGACCUGAAAGGAUGGACUUCCGUGGAGAAAUUGGUAGAGAAAUCGACACCAUCAAAAAAGUUCGCUCUUGAAACACAGAGACCAAAAAAUCAUUCAUGAUGUGAGUGCGAUGCUGUAUAAGAAUGCCAACGGCAACAGGGAAACGUUUCAGUUGCCUUUUCUCAGCGCAUCAUGAAACAACUCCAUUGUUCGUUGUCGUUCCUCUCAUUCCUCCUUUCAAUGGUGUUUGGAUGACCGAGAUUUUUGAUGAUUCCAUUUGAACGUGUCGCCUUGUUCGAGGGUCCCAAUUUGGUUGAGUUGUCGUCGCCUCUGCACUUCCGAAAUGGUCGCUCUGCUCAGUUUGAUUCGAAUGAGGAUGAUUUGACAUCUUUGACGGGAGCUUCUCAAGCAGGCUUAUUAGCAUCUGCCGCUGCGCCACUUCCAUCUACGAGACGUCGAGAUCCUAAUCAGUCUUUCCUGGAUUCGCUUCGAGGAGUGGGCAUUGCCUCCGCAGAGGAUCAAUUGGCGGGAGCUUCAUCGCUACAAGGAUCACCUCAAGGACCAGAUUACGUGGAUUAUGGAGCCUACACCGGCAAGAAAGGCGCUUUUGGGUGGUAUUCAGACCAUCCAGUUCUAUUGGGUUAUCAUCGACGAUGAUGAAUUAUUGAUGCAUUCUUUGGUUAUGACUCCCUUAUUGGGGAGGAUUUAGGGACAGGUCGGUCACUUUGGGACUACUUAUUCUGCGAACUACAACAACAAAUAUACUCUAAUCUCAAAAUCCGAUUAUAUGAAUGAGUAUCGUUAACAGGCACGCUUUCAUCUGAAUGAAAUAAAUAUGACCUUUAUCGAAGCUGAA